AUGUUUGGUCAUCACUGUUCGAAAUCAAGAAAGGUGUGUGUAUAUGGUCUCUGUUUGAAGUAAGAGAGCGAUUUUGAAUAGGUGAAGAUCCCAGAAUGAUUUUGAAUAGGUGAAGAUCCCAGAAUUAUACAUGGUGUUUAAUGUAACAAUCUCUAUAAAAGCAAAAAUAUCUCACGGACGAUGUGAAUGUUGAAACUGCAGUACACGCUAAUGAAAGUUCCAGUUAUCUUACCAUCUUCAAGAAUCAUUGUGGACUGACCAGUGAUUCAGAGGGAUCUAUUAAGCGACGAUGGGUUCAAUCCUUCAACCUAAACUCGCCGCCAUCAGCUGAUUCCGUUGCCGGUAGGAGGUGGCGUCGGAAACAACCAUCGUCGUCUCUCUUUCUCUCUCUGUUGUUGUCUUCUUUCUCUCUCUGUUGUUGAUUUCCAUGUUUGUCUGAGUAGAAAUUGUUAUAUAGUAUAAUUACACAUAUGUCCCUGGCUAAUAAUAUAGUUAAUUACAUAAAUGGUCCUUGUACUUGUAAAAGGGUAUUUAAGUCAUUUCAAUCAAAUUUGACAGAAAAGUUGACAAAAGUUAGUGUUAAUACCCCAGGUUGUUAAAAAAUGA
rnacentral:lncRNA from 1 species